GAUGAAGAACGUAGCGAAAUGCGAUAAGUAAUGUGAAUUGCAGAAUUCAGUGAAUCAUCGAAUCUUUGAACGCACAUUGCGCCCCCUGGUAUUCCGGGGGGCAUGCCUGUCCGAGCGUCAUUACAACCCUCAAGCUCAGCUUGGUGUUGGGCCCCGCCGCCCCGGCGGGCCCUAAAGUCAGUGGCGGUGCCGUCCGGCUCCGAGCGUAGUAAUUCUUCUCGCUCUGGAGGUCUGGUCGUGUGCUCGCCAGCAACCCCCAAUUUUUUUCAGGUUGACCUCGGAUCAGGUAGGGAUACCCGCUGAACUUAAGCAUAUCAAUAAGCGGAGGA
rnacentral:misc_RNA from 1 species